UACGUAGGGGGCGAGCGUUGUCCGGAAUCAUUGGGCGUAAAGCGCGCGUAGGCGGCCAGAUAAGUCCGGUGUGAAAGUCACAGGCUCAACCUGUGAAUGCCGCUGGAAACUGUCUGGCUUGAGUCCGGAAGGGGCGAGUGGAAUUCCUGGUGUAGCGGUGAAAUGCGCAGAUAUCAGGAGGAACACCAAUGGCGAAGGCAGCUCGCUGGAACGGUACUGACGCUGAGGCGCGAAAGCUAGGGGAGCAAACAGG
rnacentral:rRNA from 1 species